rnacentral:rRNA from 1 species
GGCUCAGGAUGAACGCUGGCGGCGUGCUUAACACAUGCAAGUCGAACGAAGCACUGUUGAUAGAUUCUUCGGAUGAUAGAUACAGUGACUGAGUGGCGGACGGGUGAGUAACGCGUGGGUAACCUGCCUCAUACAGGGGGAUAACAGUUAGAAAUGACUGCUAAUACCGCAUAAGACCACGACACCACAUGGUGAUGGGGUAAAAGAAUUAUCGGUGUAGGGUGAGCUCGCGUCCGAUUAGCUAGUUGGUGAGGUAAACGGGCCCACCAAGGCGACGAUCGGUAGCCGACCUGAGAGGGUGAUCGGCCACAUUGGAACUGAGACACGGUCCAAACUCCUACGGGAGGCAGCAGUGGGGAAUAUUGGGCAAUGGGCGCAAGCCUGACCCAGCAACGCCGCGUGAGUGAAGAAGUAUUUCGGUAUGUAAAGCUCUAUCAGCAGGGAAGAAAAUGACGGUACCUGACUAAGAAGCCCCGGCUAACUACGUG